UCCAGACUCCUACGGGAGGCAGCAGUCGGGAAUAUUGCGCAAUGGAGGAAACUCUGACGCAGUGACGCCGCGUAUAGGAAGAAGGUUUUCGGAUUGUAAACUAUUGUCGUUAGGGAAGAGAAAGGACAGUACCUAAGGAGGAAGCUCCGGCUAACUACGUGCCAGCAGCCGCGGUAAUACGUAGGGAGCAAGCGUUAUCCGGAAUUAUUGGGUGUAAAGGGAGCGUAGACGGCGGCGCAAGUCCGGAGUGAAAGCCCACGGCCCAACCGUGGGACUGCUCUGGAAACUGUGCGGCUUGAGUGCGGGAGGGGCAGGCGGAAUUCCUAGUGUAGCGGUGAAAUGCGUAGAUAUUAGGAGGAACACCGGCGGCGAAGGCGGCCUGCUGGACCGUAACUGACGUUGAGGCUCGAAAGCGUGGGGAGCAAACAGGAUUAGAUACCCCAGUAA
rnacentral:rRNA from 1 species